rnacentral:tRNA from 1 species
GGAGGCAUGGCUUAACUGGUAGAGUAACAGUCUAGUAAGCACAAGGUCUUGAGUUCAAAUCCCAGUGCCAUCC